GUUAUUUAGGAAAUGUGUGUGGGAUGGUAUUGACUUUUUUGAUUUAUCAGUGAAAAGGAACUUGUAGAAUAAAUUAAGCCAUAAAAUCAGAGGGCUCCCUCACAGGAAGAGAGAAAAGGUUGGAGGUGAGUGGGAGGCAGGGUACUGACAUUCUGCCUCCUUUGCUCCACUUAGCAUUUAGGAUGUUGACCGUAGGGCUCAUUCCAUCUACUGGUGAUCCAACAUCAGGUGGAGUAGAAGAAUACCAUGGGUGAGUAUAUAGGGCUUCAGGUAUUUAUUUAGUCUGCUGGGUCAUUUUGUGUUUAAACUCUUAGGACCAAUUAAAGAGGGUAAUUUCCUAACUGAAAAACUUCCUCUUUGCUGCAUUGCUAGACUAUGUUGUCUAGCCUACUCACAACUGAUGUGCCACUGAAAUUUUUCAGGACAAAAAGUUAACCUCCAAUGAAGAGGGAUUCUUGGCUUUAUAAAAGGUGGUGACACACAGUACGGAUCCCAGUGUCUAAGGAACAGCUGCUGCUCUCUGAGACACAGAAAGGAAGCCAUUGAAACUCACAGAAACUGCAGUUCAGAGAGUAAUUUGCCUCACAGGAGGUAGAGGUGUCACCCUCAUUGGAAAAAUUGAUAGCAAAAAAAGCCAUUCCCCACAGUGGCCCAGGGGGAGUGAGGCCUUUGAGGUGUCCCAGAUAAAGGGAAGAGCCAGCUCAUUAGAUAGAGGUGGGGGACAGACAGAGAGCUACCUGAACAACUGCAGAAGUACUUGGGCCCCCAGAGAGGAAGCCAGGCUGCCUCUUAGGGCCACACUAGUUUAUUAAUAGGGACAUGUCACAUGAGAGACUUGGCCACCUAGGUCUGUUUCACAACUUAGGCCAGUGUUUUUCAAGUGUAGCAAAAAGAUUAGAAUUUGGAGAAGGAAGUAGUGAAAAGUAUCCUUGAGACAUAUAUAUUUUUUUUUAAUCUUGCAGACUUUCAACAAUGACAGAACAAAGGAAAUGGUAGAAGUGGAUUUUCCUUCUACUCCACAAACUACUUCUCCUCUUCCAGGAUAUUAUCACUAUGUAGAAGGAACUUCUUUUGAAAAUACAUUCCUGCUGUUCACAAAAUUAUAGAUGUUCUUCCUUUACAGAAGUCCUGGAGAUUCAGUGGAGGACAAGAAAGACAAAGAGAAGAAUUACAUGGCUCAUACUCUUCAAAGAGAAUAAUGGAAAGAGAUAAAGAAAUUCAUGAAAAGAAUUAUUUGGUGUUUCUGAAAAAACGACAAGGGGACAUGGGGAAUGGCCAAAAUACGGGACUGAGGAGGACCCCCUCAAAUGCUGUAGUUCAACUUUCUACUUCCCAGCAGGACAAAUGGGAAGAAAGUUCCAGCAUAUGCCAGUCUUGGAAGUAUAGUACUCACAUCUACUUUUGUUGUUGUUGUUGUUGUUUUGUUGUGUUGUGUUCUGUUUUACUGCCUUGGGGAGAUGUAAUAAAGAGAAAAUCCAAUGCCUCCACCAGCUGAUGGUGUUUAUUUUAAAGAAAGCAAAUAAAGUAUUUGUUGCAGUAAAUGGAAAAAACUACAGCAUGAAUUAAGCUUGAAAAAUGAAAAAAAAACUUCUGACGUGAUCUGAACUGAAUGGUAACUAAUAUCUUUCCUAGGAUAUCUAUGUCUCACGUUUGAUGUAAAAAAGAACGGAUCUGAAAAUGCUUUGCUUAGCUGUUAAAUACGUUUAGCAUGUUCUUCCCUCCUUUCAUGAUGGAGGUAAAUUACAGCAAGGUGGAAGCCCAUUCUCAUUGGGCUUCCUGCUACCAUCCCACUCAUAGCUACCUCAAUUAGUCACCAAGUGAAUGAUGACUACAGAACCAAAGAUUUAGGUUAAAAAGCACUUUUCAUCUCAAGAGUAAUUCACAGCAAGAAAUGCUCCUCCUCUUACUCCAUGACCUUUCAGAAUGCCAUCGCUACACAGAAAAUAACAGGAUGGUACCUGCCUUGGGCAUUCAUCUUACUUUGGAAGUCAGAGCAAAAUUUGGAGGAAGGUGAGGUCAGGGGUGAAGUGGCAACGUUCUUUCCAAUUUUUAGUCUCACUCUAAGUUAUCAACCACUGCAUGCAGACAUUGCAACAUUGUGCUUAGUGGCUGCAGAAGGAACCAAGUGGAUGUGGAAUGCACAAAGGAGGGAUGCUAACAAGGAAAAGGGGGUCUUUCAAGUGUUUCAAUGGUACUCAGACACGAACAGAAACAUGAAUGACUAUCCAUGAUGCAAAAUGCCAGGGCAUGGAGUCAGAAAAACAAGGUGUGAGUUCCAGCUUUCCAGCUUUCUAAAUAUGUGUCCUGAUAAACACAUUUAACUUCUCUGAUGCUCAGUAUUUUCCCAAAUAUGAAGUGAAGAAAAUUACACCACCUCUCCUGUCUUCUUCACAGGGUUAUUAUGAGGAUUAAAUAGGAUUAUACAUAAUAAUAGUACAUUCAAACUAUAAAGAGCUGUUCCAGUAUCCAGAAUUUUCAUCAUCCCUCAAUACAAUGGCUCACCACCUACUACCACAUGGCCUAUAGAGUUGGAAGGGACCUCAGAAACCAUUUAUCAACACACACCAAUGCAUGGUCCUUCCUCCAACAUGCAUGAGCAAUGAAUCUCAGCCUCUGUAUGACCCUGCCAGCAACAGGUGAUGCACCACAUUAUGAAAUAGUACUUCCAUUAUUAGGCACUUUAUAAAUA